AUGGCUCGGAGCUGUUUUGUUUUCUUCUGAAUGAAUAGUAUUUGUGGGACAGCGAAGGCUAAACUCGAUAAACUGCUUGUUCGAUUUUACUCCGCAAAUUCGUUGGUGCCGAGGCGUUUAAACCCUGCAGGUUUUGCUCUCAUUGCCUUUCUUGCAUAGUUGCAAUGGGCAUCUCUAUGGUCAAUUUUGUUUUUCAUCAUGCUGAUUAUUACCAUGGGACUUGACACUCAGUUUGGAACUUUAGGGCACAUGUUUGUCAGCUGUAUCAAUUGCAAGCACACAGAUUGCCGCUACUACCCGAUGACUUCCUGGUUUCUCAGCCCGCCACAUUUAUAGGAAUCAAGAGGACUCAAAAGAAAAGCUGUUCAGGAUAAAACAAGUUCAACCAGCAUCACAUUGAAAAGGAGGGAUCAUAGCUCCAAGCCCAACAGAACUUCUGAUCCUGCCACGUUUGCAUUCAUGACCAAUUAUUAAGUGGUAGCCGAAAUACUGCUGCAAGAAAACCAUGCGAAU